UACGUAGGGUGCGAGCGUUAAUCGGAAUUACUGGGCGUAAAGCGUGCGCAGGCGGUUCGUUAAGUUCGAUGUGAAAGCCCCGGGCUCAACCUGGGAACUGCAUUGGAAACUGGCGAGCUUGAAUGCGGCAGAGGGGGGUGGAAUUCCGCGUGUAGCAGUGAAAUGCGUAGAGAUCCGGAGGAACCCCAGAGGCGAAGGCGGCAUCCUGGACCGACAUUGACGCUGAGGAGCGAAAGCUAGGGGAGCAAACGGG
rnacentral:rRNA from 1 species